AUUACCGCGGCUGCUGGCACGUAGUUAGCCGGGGCUUCUUCUGCAGGUACCGUCAUUUUCUCUUCUUCCCAACUAAAAUAAGUUUACAACCCGAAUGCCGUCAUCCCUCACGCGGCGUCACUGCGUCUGGCUUCCUCCCAUUGUAUAACAUUCCCCACUGCUGCCUCCCGUAGG
rnacentral:rRNA from 1 species